AUUGAACGCCGGCGGCAUGCCUUACACAUGCAAGUCGAACGGCAGCGGGGGAGAAGCUUGCUUUUCCUGCCGGCGAGUGGCGAACGGGUGAGUAAUACAUCGGAACGUGCCCUGUAGUGGGGGAUAACUAGUCGAAAGAUUAGCUAAUACCGCAUACGACCUGAGGGUGAAAGUGGGGGACCGCAAGGCCUCAUGCUAUAGGAGCGGCCGAUGUCUGGUUAGCUAGUUGGUGGGUAAAGGCCUACCAAGGUGACGAUCAGUAGCUGGUCUGAGAGGACGAUCAGCCACACUGGGACUGAGACACGGCCCAGACUCCUACGGGAGGCAGCAGUGGGGAAUUUUGGACAAUGGGCGAAAGCCUGAUCCAGCAAUGCCGCGUGUGUGAAGAAGGCCUUCGGGUUGUAAAGCACUUUUGUCCGGAAAGAAAUGGCUCUGGUUAAUACCUGGGGUCGAUGACGGUACCGGAAGAAUAAGGACCGGCUAACUACGUGCCAGCAGCCGCCGUAA
rnacentral:rRNA from 1 species